GCCCCCAUAGCUCAGUGAAUAGAGCAGCAUCCUUCUAAGAUGAAAGCCCCAGGUUUGAAUCCUGGUGGGGGCG
rnacentral:tRNA from 1 species